rnacentral:lncRNA from 12 species
CUUGUUCUAUAGCCCCAGGCCUGAUGCAUGGUGCUGGCCAGUGGAUCCAAGCAGUUUGCUGGAAGUUACUCAACUUGACAGGUUAUAAGCAAGAGAAGGCAUGGGUUUCCUGCUGCUGUGGUUAGAUGGUUCCCUGUGCAUCUGAAAGGAGACCUAUAUAAUAGUUUUAGAAUGUGCUCAAGGGCUGUGGCUGGUAUUUCUGGUAGGGUUAUGGCACUGGAGAAAGGAAUCUGUUAGAAGCUCAUUAGCUUCCACGGUAGCAAAGGAAUCUUGCAGCCAGCUGGAGACCUCCUACAGCAAUUGGGACAUAUGCCUUUUGUUGAUGUCUGAAACCAUAGCGAGUGCAUGUUGUGGAAAUUUUAAAAAUCAGCAGCCAGUUAGAAAAUAAAGAAGCUGAGACAAUAGAAACAGUGUUGGGGCUAUGGGAAAGUGGGCGCCAGCCCUCUCUCUUGAGGGGCACUCACUGUUACUUUCCAUGGGUCUGACCAACCUCCUGACCAAAGUGCUCUGUGGACAUACCAGUGAGGAGGGAGGGGACAGUCCUUCCAGAGGUCACAUUAAGUCUUUAGAGUAAGAGACCCAUUUUCCAAGGCCUUAUUGCUUCUGCUAUGGUGGCAUUGGCUAGGAGAUGCAAUAAGAAGCAUUUGAAGUGUAUUUGAAAGGGUAUACAGGACAAAGAAAAGGAAUAAGACAAGGUUAGUUCUAGAGUCUCAAACUGAAUAACUCUUAAGAGGUAGAUGGGAUGGAGUUUGCAGUGGCCACUGGUGCCAUGGAACUACAGCAAAAUGGACAUACGUGGAUAUAUACGUUUUGGAGUGGUUGACAAAGAUGGCAUUGAAUUGGGAAUGGAUCAUAAUCUCGACACAAAACAGCUCACACUUUGGUGGCUUAGCUGGCAAUGUUUCGCCCUCCCCAAGCCUGUCUAACUCCCACCCAUCUUGUGAGAUUAGUGCCAUGGAUCAUCUGGUAAGUAAUUUAAAAGGGAAAAUACUUAAAUAAAUUUAGGCUGAUAUUUAUUUAAUUAUCUGUG